AUUGAACGCUGGCGGCAUGCCUUACACAUGCAAGUCGAACGGCAGCACGGGAGCAAUCCUGGUGGCGAGUGGCGAACGGGUGAGUAAUGUAUCGGAACGUGCCCAGUCGUGGGGGAUAACGUAGCGAAAGCUACGCUAAUACCGCAUACGAUCUAUGGAUGAAAGCGGGGGAUCGCAAGACCUCGCGCGAUUGGAGCGGCCGAUAUCAGAUUAGGUAGUUGGUGGGGUAAAGGCUCACCAAGCCGACGAUCUGUAGCUGGUCUGAGAGGACGACCAGCCACACUGAGAAUGAGACACGGCCCAGACUCCUACGGGAGGCAGCAGUGGGGAAUUUUGGCCAAUGGGCGCAAGCUUGAUCCAGCAAUGCCGCGUGCAGGAUGAAGGCCUGCGGGUUGUAAACUGCUUUUGUACGGAACGAAACGGCGAGCUCUAAUACAGUUUGCUAAUGACGGUACCGUAAGAAUAAGCACCGGCUAACUACGUGCCAGCAGCCGCCGUAA
rnacentral:rRNA from 1 species